rnacentral:tRNA from 1 species
GCCAAGGUAGUGGAGUGGUUAAAAUGUUGGGCUAGGAUCCGGAAGUCCCGAGUUCAAAUCCCCAUGCUUCUAUGGAAGCUGGCU